UAUUUUAUCUUAAGAUUAAUAAUUUACAUGGUUUGCGAAGAAAGCUAGACACUGAAGCAACUCUUAAGUUACGUGUAUGAUUUUCUCUAUUGCUGGAUAUCCCGCCAUCCAAAAUCAAAAGGAGUUAAUUUAUCCUGGAUUCUUGGAAUGACAUCUGGGCUUUGGACUUAGAGACAGUGGCACCGGAUGAUGGAGAUCAUUUCUUGCCACACCGCACGCUGCUGUUAUGUUUUAGACUUUAGAGGGGUUAACCACUUGAGAAUUCGGAGAUCCAAGCUCCCCAUACUUAGGGGGGGGAGGUUCUUUUGUUUUCUAUCAGAACCAGGGUCUGCGUCUUCAAGAUUUUCUCGUGUAGAUAGUCUGAGGUUGAAGAGGCUCCACCAACAUCGAAGGUCUGGGAGAGUUUGCUCUCGUGGCAAAUAUGAACAUGUUGGUUCAAGUGUCGUAACUGGAACUUCUUACUCUUAUAUACUUGAUGGUGAAGAGGGUGGGAGCAGUGUGUCUGAUGGUGUUCGGUCAGUCCCCAAGGUAUCGAUUCCUAGCUUGCCAGGCGGAGAAAAUGGUGAUGGUGUAGAUUUAAUCAGCAGCCGUUUCUGGGAAUGGAAGCCGAAGUUAAUUGUUCAUUAUGAUACAUCAGGAUCUGAGAAUACUGAUUCCCCACCAGUUCUCUUCCUUCCUGGAUUCGGUGUGGGGUCGUUUCACUAUGAAAAACAGCUCAAAGAUCUUGGUCGUGAUUACAAGGUGUGGGCCUUAGAUUUUCUUGGCCAGGGCAUGUCAUUACCGGUUGAAGAUCCAACUUUGCAGUCUCAAGAUAGAGAAAAGGGCUCGUUAGAUGGACAAACAAGUGUUUGGGGAUUCGGAGAUGAGAGUAAGACUUGGGCCGAAGAGCUUGUCUUUUCAGUCGACCUGUGGAGGGAUCAAGUACGCUGUUUUAUAGAAGAGGUGAUUAAAGAACCUGUUUAUCUUGUGGGAAAUUCUCUUGGAGGGUUUGUGGCUCUGUAUUUUGCAGCAUGCCACCCUGAAUUGGUAAAAGGUGUCGCUUUGCUCAAUGCAACGCCGUUUUGGGGAUUUCUCCCUAAUCGUGAAAGAUCUCCAAGACUAUCGCGACUCUUCCCCUGGGCGGGAACGUUCCCUCUCCCUUCUAGCCUCAAAAAAUUUAUCGAAAUUCUAUGGCAGAAAAUAAGUGAUCCAAGAAGUGUCACAGAGAUACUGAAGCAAGUUUACUCAGAUCAUACAACUGAUGUUGAUGAAGUGUAUUCUCGUAUCAUUGAGACCACACGACAUCCAGCUGCCGCUGCAUCGUUUGCUUCUAUUAUAUUUGCUCCUCAGGGGCGACUAACCUUCGAGGAAAAUUUGGACAGGUGUCGAAUGAACAAUACACCCAUUUGUCUCAUGUACGGGAAGGACGACCCUUGGGUGAGGCCUGUCUGGGGUUUGCAGGUGAAACGUCGAGUUCCAGAUGCUCCAUAUUACGAGAUAAGCCCUGCCGGUCACUGCCCCCAUGACGAGGUUCCUGAGGUUGUGAACUUUCUCCUGCGUGGUUGGAUCCGGAACCUGGAGUCGGAUGGUUCGGCCAUGCUGCCUUUGCUCGAUGGGGAAAGCAGCGAGCAUGGCGUCUGCAAGGACUUGGAAUUUACGAGAGAAGGUUCUAGAAGAUCGGUGCGGGUGCAGUUCUACGGAUCCAAGUUAUCAGUCUGGAAUUGGUUAAAUUAUCAGCUGAAAGCUCUUUUCAUCUGAAACAGGAUCUGUUAGCCUAUGCACUCUCAAGCAAGCUGAAACUAAAGUGAAGCUAGCUCUCAAUCCUAAUGCUGAUGCUAAAUGUGAAAAUGAAGAUUCUUCAGUUAAGGACGUGGCAUCUACUCACAACAUGAAGAGCUGGAAAGAUGUGCUCUUGGGACCACCUAAAACGUUGGCAGCAGGAGAAGGAGAAGGUGGCCAGCUCGCUCUUGUGGUCCAAGGCAGUUAAAUGUGUUGUGUUGUCACUCUUCUAUUGCUUGUUAUGGUAGAGUAUUAUUCUCAGUGUAGCUAUAUAUAUGUGCAGCACGUAAUUCCAAUGGCAAUCAAUGAACAUACUAUUUCUGGAAAUAUGCAGUCUCUCUUUAU